rnacentral:rRNA from 1 species
AUGGCAAAGAAGCUGGAAUGGUUCAAUAUUGCCGUGGACAAUGGCAUCCCAAAUCAAGCAUGGUACAUGGAGGACAUGGCUACCAUGUUCAGGCUGGGUGUGGAUUGCACUAUCGAGGAUCCGCAGCGAAGACCGUCUAUGCAGAUGGCUCUCAAACGACUCCGACGCUGCCGUGGGUGUGGCCGAUUCGGUGGCCUUCUCACCUGCUAUAACAUGUAA